GUACGGGAGGCAGCAGUAGGGAAUCUUGCGCAAUGGGCGAAAGCCUGACGCAGCCAUGCCGCGUGAAUGAUGAAGGUCUUAGGAUUGUAAAAUUCUUUCACCGGGGAAGAUAAUGACGGUACCCGGAGAAGAAGCCCCGGCUAACUUCGUGCCAGCAGCCGCGGUAAUACGAAGGGGGCUAGCGUUGCUCGGAAUUACUGGGCGUAAAGGGCGCGUAGGCGGAUAUUUAAGUCGGGGGUGAAAGCCCGGGGCUCAACCUCGGAAUUGCCUUCGAUACUGGAUAUCUUGAGUUCGGGAGAGGUGAGUGGAAUGCCGAGUGUAGAGGUGAAAUUCGUAGAUAUUCGGCGGAACACCAGUGGCGAAGGCGACUCACUGGCCCGAUACUGACGCUGAGGCGCGAAAGCGUGGGGAGCAAACAGGAUUAGAUACCCCGGU
rnacentral:rRNA from 1 species